rnacentral:tRNA from 1 species
GGGGCUGUAGCUCAGUUGGGAGAGCGCGUGCUUUGCAAGCAUGAGGUCACCGGUUCGAUCCCGGUCAGCUCCA